UACGUAGGGUGCAAGCGUUAAUCGGAAUUACUGGGCGUAAAGCGUGCGCAGGCGGCUUUGCAAGACAGAUGUGAAAUCCCCGGGCUUAACCUGGGAACUGCAUUUGUGACUGCAUGGCUGGAGUGCGGCAGAGGGGGAUGGAAUUCCGCGUGUAGCAGUGAAAUGCGUAGAUAUCUGGAGGAACACCGAUGGCGAAGGCAGCCCCCUGGGCUAACACUGACGCUCAUGCACGAAAGCGUGGGGAGCAAACAGG
rnacentral:rRNA from 1 species